GUCCCGAUUUAGUGGCUGUGGGUGGGCAGAUCUGCCGAAUCGGGCCCUCAACAGGGGAUUGGGCAUGUGCCAGGUUGGUCCAAGGCCUUGCAAUGUGUUCUCCCUUCAGGUCUACCAUCCGCCGGUGUGUCGGGCCGUUAUGCUGCUCCUCCUCAGUUUGUGUGAGGUAAGCGCUUGUUCGCCGGUGCCGUCUUUGGUGCGGUCAGCAAUCCGCCUGUAUGGGAGCAGGAGAGGAGGGUGCAUCCUGCUGCUC